UUUGAGUACCGUUGUUGGGGCUAAAGGAGCUGUGGUGGAUCCGUGCUCUUUGUAGCUAGCAUGCCUCUGGUGAUUUUAUAUACUCACAUGGUGUUCCUCAGACCAUAUGUGAUUACUGAUACAUUUCCACCGCGGCUGUAUAAGUAAAGAAAAUUUCGAUCAGCAUGAUGAAUUAAUUGAAUUGUCACCGAAUGGAGUCUUGUGGUUCUUCAAAAUCAACCAGGAUGGCACACUUUGGUGGCUCCCAGAUUUCCUUCAAAGCAUUAAGUUGAUGAAACCAGUUCUGUUUCGUGAGCAGCCUCUCUCUCCCUCUCUCUCCCUCUCUCUCUGGGUCGGUUGUUUGACCAGUGCUGUCUUCUUAUGAUUCUCCCUGAACACAUGUUUGUUGUGUUACGAGUUCGAGUGUGUGAAUCGUCUAUUUUCUGAAGGUGAUAUUUCUAAGACUGUGGUCUAUUUUUUCUGACACUUUAGAGUGUUACCUGAGAAACUAUCCAAGAUAUUAUAUUUGCUCUAAACAGGGAUGAACUGAAAUGCACAAUUAUCAAUAUAUGUGCUUCUGCAGUUCUGUGGUCUAUUUGGAAGCUGCCUAACAAUCUCCGUUUUCAGGGAAAACAAUGAAGAAGUUUGACCUGCAUUUGGGAUGCAGCGAUCUGUUAGGCAACUAUGGUCAGCUACUCACGACUACAGGAUUAUGGGCACUGCUAUAUGGCUGACUUGGAGCAUGUUUGUGAGUUUACCCCUUCUAAUGUACGUGCUCAAUUUUGGAUGUAUCGGUACAAGGAGACAUAGCUCCAGCUCCUGAACAUUUUACUCUAAAAGACUUAAGCUUUCAUCGCUGCUAUACAUGGUAGCAGUGAACUGUACAUAGUAUGGCAGUGUCUAUUGCCACUAGAACCGAUGUUGUAUACCAGUUUAAUCUUUUCUCUCUGUUCAA